UCAUCAGAGCAAUCGUCAGCAAAAGCCAGAUUACAGAGAUCUAUGGUGUCCUACAGGAUAUCCAUCAUCUCUCAUCGCUGUUUGCUUCUAUCAACUUUCAGUUCAUCUCCCGUUCCCAGAACGGAGAAGCUGACUUUCUAGCAAAACGGGCCCUUAAGGCCCAUAAUCCUUCUGCUUCUGUUGUUUAGCUAUUGCCUUCGGGCCCAAACUCUUCCUGCUUUGCUUUAAUUUAUAAAAUCUCGUUGCUCAAAAAAAAAAAGUUGAAAUAUAGAGCCCGCAAAGAUGGAAACUUCUUCUCUCACCUAUCGUUUUCGUUGUCCGUCUCUUUUUUUCUCAAAAAUAACAAAUAAAUUUACUACAUCGAUCCUUAUAAGGAAAGAACGAAA
rnacentral:lncRNA from 1 species